CUGGUCUCGAACUCCUGACCUCGUGAUCUGCCCGCCUAGGGCUCCCAACGUGCUGGGAUUAUAGACGUGAGCCACAGCCCCCGGCCUCUCAUUUCUUAAUUGUAGACACUGCGUACUUCCGGAGAAGGUCCCUGAGAACCUGGCCGAUCUUCCCCGUUGCACCCCUCACGUGGUCCUGUUAGCUCCCAAACUGUCAACCUGAAAGGAAACCCAGAGGCAGGCUCUCCAGGACAAGCUCAAACACAUCCGCUGUGCCUGAUCCUCCUGUUCGGACCUAGACCGAUCGCCUCCUGACCGUGCAGCACAGCUCUUAUCUCGAGCUUUUCUCUGCUCUCAUCCUUGAGACUCACUUUGCCUGUCUCCUUUCUUGGAUUCCCUAUGUAAACGAAAAAUAAAAUCCUGAGCCCUCUA